GAUUAGCUAAAGACAUCCGAUAAAAUUAGAACGAUACAGAGAAGAUUAACAUAGCCCUGCCUAAGGAUCGCAUGCAUAAAUCAAAAUCCCUUCACGUCGAU